UACAGAGGGGGCGAGCGUUGUUCGGAAUUACUGGGCGUAAAGGGCGCGUAGGCGGCCUUCUAAGUCGAACGUGAAAUCCCCGGGCUCAACCCGGGAACUGCGUCCGAUACUGGAAGGCUUGAAUCCGGGAGAGGGAUGUGGAAUUCCAGGUGAUAGCGGUGAAAUGCGUAGAUAUGUGGAGGAAUACCGAUGGCGAAGGCAGCCCCCUGGGAUAACACUGACGCUCAUGCACGAAAGCGU
rnacentral:rRNA from 1 species